rnacentral:tRNA from 1 species
GGACGGGUGGCGCAAUGGUAGCGCGUUGGUUUUCGGCACCAAAGGUUGUGGAUUCGAGUCCCACCUCGUUCG